CACAGACAUACUGGCAUACACACAGACAUACUGACACACACAGACAUACUGGCAUACACACAGACAUACUGACACACACACACACACACACAGACAUACUGGCAUACACACAGACAUACUGACACACACACAGACAUACUGGCAUACACACACAGACAUACUGACACACACACAGACCUACUGGCAUACACACACAGACAUACGGACACACACACAGACCUACUGGCAUACACACACAGACAUACUGACACACACACACACACACAGACAUACUGACACACACACACAGACAUACUGACAUACAUUUAGCCACCCUCCAGGUUCUUACCUUUUCCUGGAGGGUGGUUUCCCUGGUCCAGUGGCAGGCUGAGGCAGAUGGGAGUUCUCCUCUGGAACUCCCCUCCUCCCUGCCUUCCUCCUCCCGCGCGGCUAUCUCCGGUGGGAGGAAGUGACGUCACUUCCUCCCAGCCGGCUGCAGAAC